GCCGCGUACACACACACACCCACGUGUCUCAGUCCGCCCAGACCUGGCACUCGCUCCCGUCACCUCACACGCCCUCACAGUGAAGUGUGUCGCCUCACUGGCCACACGGCUUCGUGAGGGACUCGAAGCAAGCCCUCCUUGCGUGUGCGACAGCUGCGUUCACUCACAGUGAGACUGUGGAGGUGUUUGAACGCCUUUGUAUUAUUAAUUUGGUUAGCCCCAUACGUUGUACAAGAGAAGCAGUCAACAUAGUGAAGACCGCUUAUACACCCACCUGUAUGACUGCUCAACAAUCUAACACAGAAAACGUGAUCAAACGCCCUUCAAAACUGGCAAACUUUAUUAUAAAUGUAUUGUAAUUUAUUUUGUUUUCAUAAUAGUGAAGAGAGCAUUCCGGGAGCCGGUGUUGCCAGGGGCAACGCGCGCCGGCCUCUGACCAACGUCCACUUGCAAAUACUGCACGAUGGAGCCUAAUGAUAUUUCGAAAUGUUUCGCUGCACUCUGUGAGCCUUACCCAAGUUGUGAACAAAUUCUAGUGGUGUUGAUCGAAUCAAUUUGAGCAUUACAGCGAUACGUAUUGGAUACGACAGAUCUUGAUUUGACUUCAAACAAAAUAUAACUUGGAAAUUAUUUAAGAAAACAUUAAACUCCUUAAAUGAUGAUUUUGUGUCAACACAUUAAUAUUUGAUAAAUUAUCUGAAGACAUAAACACGUGUAGAAAGGAAAUAUAUAAUAGUUUACUAUCUAAAAGCUAAGUACGUACGAAUUUGUGACUAUUCACGACCAUCAAUAGAUACUGUCUAAAGAGGAAGAUGGGUUGUAAUUUAUAUAAAUAUAUAUAUAAUAAUAAUAUAUAUAUAAUAGCAAAUGAGCACGAGUGAGAGACAACGCCCCGUUCACACCUAUUUUAACGCCCCGUUCACACCAGUUUUAACGCCCCGUUCACACCUGUUUAAUGGCUGCCGUCAACAAUGAACACUUGUACACAAAACUGUCAAGACUGUCAUAAACACUGAACUACUCUUGUAUGUACAAACUGUCAAAUAAACGAAUGUACACACACACAGACUGUUACGAACACAUGUAUACACAGGCUAUCAUGAACACGUGUAUACACACAGACCAUCAGUGGUUACAUAAUACAACAUAUUCUAUGUAUACAAUAGGGACGAUAAUCACGCGAGCUGAAGGGAAUCACAGAUAAUACAUACGUGGAAAGACAUGAAUACAAACAUGUAUACAACUGAAGACAUGAAUACAAACAUGUAUACAACUGAACACAUGAAUACAAACAUGUAUACAACUGAAGACAUGAAUACAAACAUGUAUACAACUGAACACAUGCAUACAAACAUGUAUACAACUGAAGACAUGAAUACAAACAUGUAUACAACUGAACACAUGCAUACAAACAUGUAUACAACUGAACACAUGCAUACAAACACAUAUACAAGUGCGAUAAAAGACAAAACAGUCUGCCCUUUUAUAUAGAAAAAAACAGGAAGCAAUAUUUGCUACGUUUGAAAAUAAAGCAAAUUGGAGCAAACAAAAUAGCUUUAUUUGCACUUAAAACAGGAAAAACAAUAAACAAUACUAAUCCACGCGUAAACAGGAGCACUGAUUAGCGGCAAAUAAAGACAAUAGCAACGGAGUGAGAAAAUAUAUAUAUAGAUGAUAAUAAAACAAAGCCAGGACUAAUAAAUCAAUGUAAGGGGAAGUAAAGAAAAAACACAAAAAUAGUUAAUUCAAAAAAAAAACAUUGCAACGUAAAGAUAUCAAUAGAGUGACUAUAGCCAGAAGCCCAAAACAAUAAAUGAGGGAAGAUGAAAUCUAACAUAAGAUAACGAGGUGAAUUAAUAAAGUAAAAGAGAAAAGGUAAAGCAUAAUACAUCAAGAAACCAAUAACGAAGGAUAGGAAAUAUACCAGCCGUGAAGGGUCGCCAAAAACAAGACGAUAGAAAAAGAGAGAGAGAGAAAUCCUUGUGAGAGAGAGAGAGAGAGAGGGAGAUGAGGAUGCCAGAUACAAGAUCAGUGGUGAUGCUGGUGGCAGGAGUGCUCUCUCUCCUCCCUCUCUCUGUCUCCGACCAAGAUGGAGCCCGGUGGACCAACAACCAUCCCAACCAGGUGGAGACGCCUGGAGCCCACAAGAUAUCGGGAGAGAGGUUCGUCACUACCAACAACAGCGUCGUCACGGCCCAGGUCGGCGCCUCCGUCAUCCUUCACUGCAAGACCUCCAGUGCCACCGGCGGACUGGUGUCGUGGGUACGGAAGAGAGACUACCAGCUACUGACGGUGGGUCUCCACACCCAUUCCAGCGACGAUAGGUUCUCUAUCAACUACGUCCAUUGGG